rfam:Legionella worsleiensis strain ATCC 49508 Lwor_ctg003, whole genome shotgun sequence.
GUUCACUGCCGUAUAAGCAGCUUAGAAA